rnacentral:rRNA from 1 species
UACGUAGGGCGCGAGCGUUGUCCGGAAUUAUUGGGCGUAAAGAGCUCGUAGGCGGCCGGUUGCGUCUGCUGUGAAAUCCCGGGGCUUAACCCCGGGCGUGCAGUGGAUACGGGCCGGCUGGAGGCAGGCAGGGGAGAAUGGAAUUCCCGGUGUAGCGGUGAAAUGCGCAGAUAUCGGGAGGAACACCAGUAGCGAAGGCGGCACUCUGGGCCGGAACUGACGCUGAGGAGCGAAAGCGUGGGUAGCAAACAGG